rnacentral:rRNA from 2 species
AACGCUGGCGGCAUGCCUAAUACAUGCAAGUCGAACGAACCAUCCUGAUGAUUGAAGCUUGCUUCAUGAUUCAGAUCUUGGUGAGUGGCGGACGGGUGAGUAACACGUGGGUAACCUGCCCAGAAGUGGGGGAUAACAUUUGGAAACAAGUGCUAAUACCGCAUAACAACUUAGAUCACAUGAUCUUUGUUUAAAAGAUGGUUUUGCUAUCUCUUCUGGAUGGACCCGCGGCGUAUUAGCUAGUUGGUGAGGUAAUAGCUCACCAAGGCGAUGAUACGUAGCCGACCUGAGAGGGUAAUCGGCCACAUUGGGACUGAGACACGGCCCAAACUCCUACGGGAGGCAGCAGUAGGGAAUCUUCCACAAUGGACGAAAGUCUGAUGGAGCAAUGCCGCGUGAGUGAAGAAGGUUUUCGGAUCGUAAAACUCUGUUGUUGAAGAAGAAUAUAUGUGAGAGUAACUGUUCACGUACUGACGGUAUUCAACCAGAAAGCCACGGCUAACUACGUGCCAGCAGCCGCGGUAAUACGUAGGUGGCAAGCGUUGUCCGGAUUUAUUGGGCGUAAAGAGAAUGUAGGCGGUUUAUUAAGUUUGAAGUGAAAGCCCUCGGCUCAACCGAGGAAGUGCUUCGAAAACUGGUAAACUUGAGUGCAGAAGAGGAAAGUGGAACUCCAUGUGUAGCGGUGGAAUGCGUAGAUAUAUGGAAGAACACCAGUGGCGAAGGCGGCUUUCUGGUCUGUAACUGACGCUGAGAUUCGAAAGCAUGGGUAGCAAACAGGAUUAGAUACCCUGGUAGUCCAUGCCGUAAACGAUGAGUGCUAAGUGUUGGAGGGUUUCCGCCCUUCAGUGCUGCAGCUAACGCAUUAAGCACUCCGCCUGGGGAGUACGAUCGCAAGAUUGAAACUCAAAGGAAUUGACGGGGGCCCGCACAAGCGGUGGAGCAUGUGGUUUAAUUCGAAGCAACGCGAAGAACCUUACCAGGUCUUGACAUACCAUGAAAAGCUUAGAGAUAAGUCUUUCCCUUCGGGGACAUGGAUACAGGUGGUGCAUGGUUGUCGUCAGCUCGUGUCGUGAGAUGUUGGGUUAAGUCCCGCAACGAGCGCAACCCUUAUUAUCAGUUGCCAGCAUUCAGUUGGGCACUCUGGUGAGACUGCCGGUGAUAAACCGGAGGAAGGUGGGGACGACGUCAAAUCAUCAUGCCCCUUAUGACCUGGGCUACACACGUGCUACAAUGGUCGGUACAACGUGCUGCGAACUCGCGAGGGCAAGCAAAUCACUUAAAACCGAUCUCAGUUCGGAUUGUAGGCUGCAACUCGCCUACAUGAAGCUGGAAUCGCUAGUAAUCGCGGAUCAGCAUGCCGCGGUGAAUACGUUCCCGGGCCUUGUACACACCGCCCGUCACACCAUGAGAGUUUGUAACACCCAAAGUCGGUGGGGUAACCCUUCGGGGAACUAGCCGCCUAAGGUGGGACAAAUGAUUUAGGG